UAUUCUCUAAACCAUAAGCAAAAAAAAAAAAAAAAAAAAAAAAAACAAAUAGGCUGCUGCAUAUAUCGCUUAUUAUGACUGGUGUGACCUUGGAAUUGAUUGUCUCUGAUGACAAGGGUGUCAAGAUUCAUGGUGAAGAAUAUAAUCCCGUGAAAGUUUGUGAAGAUUAGUGAAAAUAGAUUUAACUGAAAAGAAAAAAAGUUUGAUCAUACGGGUCAAUUGUUAUAUCACAUUAGAACUCUGAAACCUUUGGUACCUUGGAGAGGAGCAAUUUGGAUCUAGGGAGGAAUUUCUAAACAUAGCUUCCUCAGCUGGCUAAUUUUACUCAACCGUUGUCCUGCAGAGGAGGACAUAAUAUAAUUAUUAGUUGGGGAUUGACAACAGACCCGAUUUGCCUUCUAUGUAACAAGACCACUUAUUUUUUUUUUAAUGUACUUAUAAGUGUUGUAUUACUAACUUUACUUUAGCAAUCAAAUUACAAACCAAUUCGGAAA